AGAUCGCGACAUAGACAAUGUGUUACAAACAACUACCGAAACAUUUUUUUACAGUAAUUGGUUAAUAAAAUUCGUUCAUGUAAUUGGUAUUCUACCCACAAUGCAGGACUGUCUAUAGGGUGCCUACAUACUCCUUCGAUUGAUCGAAAGAUGCUAUUUAAAUAAUUAAACACAUUUAGUGAUGAUGUCAUAAUACACCGGUAACGUGAGCUUAAACGAAGGAUAAUCUACUAUAGAAAUUUUUCCGGUACCUCAACUAUCCACACGUUUAUAUUUUGUCUGGCUGAAAUACCUUGUAUAUUAAAUAACAAACUGAUCUCUUAGGCAACACUGUAAUCUUCGAACAUAACCUUACUUUACUUCACUUUUACAUUUUUAAAGGAUGGGUUUUUUAAAACAAUGUCAACAUUAGAAGAGGGACUACGAAUACUUUUUACCGAAUUAGAUCAACACAGCAAGAUAAUUAAAUACGAGAAUGUGAUCUCGGACGAUAACUUUUCGGUGUCGCUCCGUACCAAGCUAAGUAACGAAAGUACGUGGAGUAAAGCGUGCGAUCGAUGGGUGGAACGAUUCACAGUACAAACCAACUCAAAAUGGGUGGUUAAGUACACGUUUCCGAAGACUCUACGCAUGGCCUAUCGUAAAGUUUACAUCUGCAAGGAGAACAGCGUGGCCAGCAGAAAUCGGAAUAAAUCCUGUAAGGCAAAAAUCGAUAUCAGAAUUAAAAAGGUGACUGAAUCGGCGUUGAAGAAGGAUUCACUUUUGAGAACUGGAUAUAACGGUGACAUUAAGGUGGUUUUUAGUCAUUCUCACAGCCGAUAAUACAACAGUCUACGCAAUAUUAUUGUAAAUCCCUACGACAUCGUCUACACUACUUAAUUUAUCGAAGAACCUCGAACACUUCUCCAUAUCAUCGUCACUCAACUCGAUCCUCCUAAUCGGAAUAUAAUCUAAGGACGCCUCGACAAUGUUGUACUUUAACUCUUCCAAGUUCUUCUGCACUUUCAUGAAACUAUGCGGGUCACUUGUGAACUGCAACAAAUUGUCGUCAACCAACACCACGUCCUCAGCUUCGCACUCGAUCGCGUGAUUAGUGGCGGCCUCCAAAAUGUCAUCGGCCAAUUUCCCACUAAACGCCGAAGGCACCUCCGUCUGGAUGACACCCUUAUGAUCGAAGAAAUGCCGACCGCCACUCUCCGAGUACCGACACCUGAAACAGACCCUGUAGCCGAGAAAGUCAAAACCGGUCCGCACUCACGAAUGCUUCUUCAUCAUCGACGCGAUGUCCUGCUUGGUCUUGGUCACGUUAGGCGAACACACCUCGCACAGUAUAAUGCAGUUACCGGGCCCUCUGAAAUAUCGAAAGGCUUUUCAUUUGCGUCUUGUCCUUCUGCGUGCUUUUAAUGACACUGUCGAUCGUCGCCGCCGGCAUAUUGGAACGUUUGGCUUGAGCGAUUAUUUGUUCCAGCCUGAGAUUUGCGCUCGGAUUCGCCGAUCCACCCUCUACA